CCCUUAGACGUUCUGGGCCGCACGCGCGCUACACUGACCAGUGCAACAAGCAUCCGUCCUUGGCCGACAGGCCCGGGCAAUCUUUGAACGCUGGUCGUGAUGGGGAUAGACUUUUGCAAUUUUUGGUCUUCAACGAGGAAUUCCUAGUAAACGCAAGUCAUCAACUUGCAUUGAUUACGUCCCUGCCCUUUGUACACACCGCCCGUCGCAUCUACCGAUUGAAUGGUCCGGUGAAGCCUCCGGAUUGGCGCGCACCUCGGUGCCGCCGAGAAGUUGGCUAAACCUUACCAUUUAGAGGAAGGAGAAGUCGUANCA
rnacentral:rRNA from 1 species